rnacentral:lncRNA from 1 species
GAUCUUUUGCACAGCUUGAAGUGGUGUCUGAAUAUGCAUUUUCUCUGAACACUUGAAUUAGAAUGGACUGAUAUCUGUGAACCAUGUGGAAUAGCCACAUGGCUCUCCACAUGCGCCUGGACACCACAACAAGGCAUGGUACUGCAUGCUAAUUCAAAUGGUUCAGUGCUGCCUGUCUUUGUCUCUAACUCCCCAGAAAUGGAGAAGGUUCUUUUGAUUUCCUACAAAGUUUAAUAUUGCUGCUGACAACUCAGACCUCGUGACCUCGCUGACUGAGAGGACCAAUAAGAUCUGGAAUUAUCAAGAUACUGGAGAUGCCAUGCGUUCUGAUGCAGACUGCCACGGGCAGUUAUUUUUAAAAGUCCUCUGAGAUGAAGAAGAAAGGUUUAAUUGGGCAGCUCAAGGAGAAUGGAAGAGGGCAGCUCGACCAAACUCCAAGACGCUCUUAGGGGAACAGGAUAAGAGAGUGUAAAAAGUGAAUGCUGAACCCCUAGUGGUAAGACAAGGUUGAAGUUUCAAAUGUGUUCAGUGAAAUCACAUCUUCCUGGAUCAUGAUGAAGCAGCAGAGAAAUCUCAGUUAAUAGUCUGAGCUUGAACAGACUAUCCUGGCACUCUUGAUGAGUUUAGAGUUUAAGUAGGACAUUUUUAUAUUUCAGCAUGUUCCAGCCUUCUGGCCAACACUCAAGUAUCUGUCACAAUGGAAGGAAAGGGAGCUGGAUCAAGGAUAAUGAGCUUUGGACUCUGCAGAAGGAGCUGUGGGGCUCCCAUUCCAGUGUGCCACUUAUUUGGCAAGUCUGAGUGACCAACACAAGGAAGGGCUCCACCUUUUCAGUCUUUAGUUUGGUUACCAUAUGGAUUUGUGAGCUUGGAAAAAUACAAGUACCACUCACUGCAAAGUUCUGCUGUUCACAGGGAUUCCUCAGAUAUCUCUGUACUUGGAAAGAAACUUCACAUUUAUAGUAGAAACCAAUAGAAGUUCAUUACUUGGGUGAUUUUGGAGGGCAAUUAUACUAAAACGUUAGCUUGUUAUCUAUAAUCUAGACCAUAGCAUAUGUUGAGACAAAAGUCAUAUCAACAUAUUAACAUAUGAUACAAUCUAGAGUCACCCAAGAAGAGGGUCUCAAAGAGAGACUGUGCUCAGGUUUCCUGUGACCAUGUAUGUGGGGAUUCAACUUGAUUACAUUAAUUGAAGUUGGAAGGUUUUAUUAUCAUGGGUUCUAGACUAAGCUUAUGCAUGAGGAUUUGAGCAACAAGAAGAGUUCCAAGAAGAGAUGUGCAACCCUAAUUUUUUUGAAUGCUUGGACAACAUGGAGAAGGCACACCAGGCUCAUGAAGAACUCAAUUCCCUAGGCAUUGGUCAUGGACGAUGUAAAAGUAGAGACAGCAAUGAGUACAGGUUUGCCCACUUUUAUUUCUGUCAGCUCUGGAUUAGCUGUGUUUACAGAGCAACUAUGUAAUGAUGUGGCUGGCUGCUUUAAAUUCCUGCCUAGACUCUUCCCCCAUGAUGGACUGUCAACUGAAACUGUGAGGCCAACCAAGCCUUUUUUUUCUCAAAGUUGGUUUUGUUAGGGUACUUUAGCAAUGCUACCUGGAAAUGACAUGAAACCAACUACUGUGUUAGAUAUUAAUAACGUCAAUUAACCAUUACAAAAGCUUUGAAAUUGUU